rnacentral:rRNA from 1 species
UACGGGGGGGGGCAAGCGUUGUUCGGAAUUACUGGGCGUAAAGGGCUCGUAGGCGGCCAACUAAGUCAGACGUGAAAUCCCUCGGCUUAACCGGGGAACUGCGUCUGAUACUGGAUGGCUUGAGUUUGGGAGAGGGAUGCGGAAUUCCAGGUGUAGCGGUGAAAUGCGUAGAUAUCUGGAGGAACACCGGUGGCGAAGGCGGCAUCCUGGACCAACACUGACGCUGAGACGCGAAAGCGUGGGGAGCAAACAGG